CGAUUCUGGCUCAGGAUGAACGCUAGCGGCAGGCUUAACACAUGCAAGUCGAGGGGCAUCGGGAGUAGCAAUACUUGCCGGCGACCGGCGCAAGGGUGCGUAACGCGUGAGCAACAUGCCCGUAUCAGGGGGAUAAUCCAUGGAAACGUGGUCUAAUACCCCAUAGUAAUUAUGUAAGGCAUCUUAUAUAAUUUAAAGCUUUGGUGGAUACGGAUUGGCUCGCGUGACAUUAGCUAGAUGGUAAGGUAACGGCUUACCAUGGCUACGAUGUCUAGGGGUUCUGAGAGGAAGGUCCCCCACACUGGAACUGAGACACGGUCCAGACUCCUACGGGAGGCAGCAGUGAGGAAUAUUGGACAAUGGAUGGAAAUCUGAUCCAGCCAUGCCGCGUGCAGGAAGACGGCCCUAUGGGUUGUAAACUGCUUUUGUAUGGGAGCAAUAAGGGCUACGCGUAGUCCGAUGAGAGUACCAUACGAAUAAGCACCGGCUAACUCCGUGCCAGCCGCGGC
rnacentral:rRNA from 1 species